AUUGGUAGAAAUCGAGUAUUUUAAAUGGGGAUGCAGAUGUUCUUACGGUCAUAAGUUAGAGUUGGAGACUCCCAUGUGUAAUAACCAGCUUUAAAUUUUCAGGUAUACUUGAUCCUGGAUGAAUUUAUACUUGCAGGGGAGUUGCAAGAAACUAGCAAGAGGGUGAUCAUAGAGAGAAUGGGAGAGUUGGUAAGGCAAGAGUGAGAAGCACAGUUUGAAGGGCUAAUGUAGAGGUUUGGGUGUGUUUCAUCCUUCUACUGGUAUCCAUCAUGUAUUUUGCGUUCAUUUGAUUUUACUAUUUUGACUGAUUUCAUGUGCCUUACUGUUUUUAACCAAGUUUUGGAAAUCGAUUUCAUUCUAUCCAA